rnacentral:rRNA from 1 species
GAUGAACGCUGGCGGCGUGCCUAAUACAUGCAAGUCGAGCGAACGGACGAGAAGCUUGCUUCUCUGAUGUUAGCGGCGGACGGGUGAGUAACACGUGGAUAACCUACCUAUAAGACUGGGAUAACUUCGGAAAACCGGCUCUAAUACCGGAUAAUAUUUUGAACCGCAUGGUUCAAAAGUGAAAGACGGUCUUGCUGUCUCUUAUAGAUGGAUCCGCGCUGCAUUAGCUAGUUGGUAAGGUAACGGCUUACCAAGGCAACGAUGCAUAGCCGACCUGAUAGGGGGGUCGGCCACACUGGGAGUGAGACGCGGUCAGGGGGACUACGGGACGCACCAGUAGGGAAUGUGACGCAAUGGGGGAGAGCAUGACGGAAUGGGCGGGAGUGAGAUACAAAGGCCCCCGGAUCGUAAAAACCUGUUUCUGGGGAAGAACCGAUGUCUAAGGUACUGAGGCGUGAUUGACGGUAACUAAUAAAAAAGCACCGGCUAACUACGUG